rnacentral:rRNA from 1 species
UACGAAGGUCCCAAGCGUUGUUCGGAAUCACUGGGCGUAAAGGGUGCGUAGGUGGUGCGGUAAGUCAGAUGUGAAAUCCCGGGGCUUAACCCCGGAACUGCAUCCGAUACUACCGUACUUGAGGACCGGAGAGGAGAUUGGAAUUCUCGGUGUAGCAGUGAAAUGCGUAGAGAUCGAGAGGAACACUCGUGGCGAAAGCGAGUCUCUGGACGGAUCCUGACGCUGAGGCACGAAGGCCGGGGUAGCGAAAGGG